GCGUCGAUGGUCUAAUGGUUAGGAUUGGUGCCUUCCAAGCACUAGGUUCGGGUUCGAUUCCCGAUCGACGCA
rfam:Cyphellophora europaea CBS 101466 unplaced genomic scaffold supercont1.4, whole genome shotgun sequence.